GGGGAAUAUUGCGCAAUGGGGGAAACCCUGACGCAGCAAUACCGCGUGAGUGAAGAAGGUUUUCGGAUCGUAAAGCUCUGUUAUUGGGGAAGAAAAAAAGACGGUACCCAAGAAGAAAGUCCCGGCUAACUACGUGCCAGCAGCCGCGGUAAUACGUAGGGUGCAAGCGUUGUCCGGAAUUACUGGGCGUAAAGAGUUCGUAGGCGGUUUGUCGCGUCGUUUGUGAAAACCAGCAGCUCAACUGCUGGCUUGCAGGCGAUACGGGCAGACUUGAGUACUGCAGGGGAGACUGGAAUUCCUGGUGUAGCGGUGAAAUGCGCAGAUAUCAGGAGGAACACCGGUGGCGAAGGCGGGUCUCUGGGCAGUAACUGACGCUGAGGAACGAAAGCGUGGGUAGCGAACA
rnacentral:rRNA from 1 species